UCCAAACAGUAUUAUUCAGCAGCAACAGU
rnacentral:piRNA from 1 species